CUUCUCAUUGCCUUCCUCUUGUGGACUCUGAAGCGACGACAGACCCAACGGCUUACAGUUUCCUCAAGAGGAGAGGUCUUGAUACAUCAAGUUCAGUACCAAGAGAUGGAUUCGAAGACGGAUGAUCUGGACUUGCUGAAAUCCUCGGGUCAGUGAACUGUAUAAAAAUCUAAACCUUGGAAUUUUAACAAGUGCCUGCAAUUGACUCUGAGCAUUCUACUUCGAUUAAUAGUUGAGAAAGUUCUGGAACUCUGUAAUGGGAAGUUUGUGGUGCACAGGAAGAAAAAAAAAGGAGGGGCGGGAUAAAUGUCUCACAGCGAAAACAUCAAGAAAGGCAGCUGUGAGCUGAAAAUUAUUCUUAGAGAACGCUUUGCAGCCACAAAGAAGUCUAUGUAGCCUAAGAGGCUGAUCACUGAAAGGGGUGCACCAACCCAACCACAUACUAUGGCUUGGACCUCGUUUUGCUGAAACAGAAAUCGAUUUUCUAAAAGACUGUUAUGAUGACUGUUUAAAUUUUCUUUUCCUUCUCUUCUUAAAAAUGAUUUGGCUGUGUAAAAUUGAGGUCUGCAACAUGUUACAGAGAACACAGAGGCGCUAUAAACAUUACUAAACUAAAGCAUGGGAGCAUUUCCAUAGUCUCACAGGAAUCCUGCACGCAGCACAAUGUUAUCACUACUGCGCAUGUGCUGCACAAAAGUGCGGCCAUCCAGUCGCCUGUGCUCACCUUCUUCUUUGCAUCCUCCCACCUGUGCCUUUUCCUUCAGAAGUCCACUCCCAGUCGCUAUCCUUGAAUUUUAUUUUUAUUAUAUUUUUUCUAUAAGUCUAAAAGGUCAAGCUUCCUAUACUCCAUCUAAUAAGACACCAUAGAGCAUUGCCCCCCAGGACCAGCCUUAGCUUUCAUUCUAGAAGAAAUGGCCUAGUACUCAUUGUCCUCACUCCUCAGGAACCUUCUGAGAGGGACUUGCCUUGGUUCUUCAGUCUGUUGCUGCUGCUACGUCAGAUGUGUAUUUAAGGAAUGGUGCUGGGCUUCUCAGCUCCCACCUUUUGGCUGCCAAUUGGCGCCAGAUUUUAUAGGUUUAAAGAGCUUCUCAGACACUUGAGGCCAGGGCUGGCAUAUAUUCCCAGUAAUUACCUUCUUCCUUCCAGAAAAUUCCAAUGAUUCGUAUGAUUUUAAUGCUGAUGGACUAACAUCUUUGUCUAAAUAUCUUCCUAUUUCUGGAAUAAAAAGGGGGCCGAUAAUUCAUAACCCACUGAGGUGAGUGAGAAUUUACUCAUCAUGAUUCAAAACAGGCACCCUCCUCUUAAGAUAGGCAACCCCUUAUAUUAGAAAGAAAAGAAUGCAUAUACAUGUAUGUUUCCAGAUGGAUGUACAUAUUUAUAAAUAUGUAUCUGUGUUCAAAUAUAGAUCAACUAUUUGUA
rnacentral:lncRNA from 1 species